GGGGAUGUGGCUCAGUGGUAGAGCACUUGCCUACCACGGGCAAGGCCCUGAGUUCCAUCCCCU
rnacentral:tRNA from 1 species